UACUAGCAAUACAUGAAGCAGUUAAAUA
rnacentral:sRNA from 1 species